rnacentral:tRNA from 4 species
GCAUCGUUAGCUCAAUGGUAGAGCAACCGCCUGUCGAGCGGUAGGCCGAGGGUUCGAUCCCCUUACGGUGCGC